GACGAACGCUGGCGGCGUGCUUAACACAUGCAAGUCGAGCGGAGCGGCGCACGGGAGCGUAACGCGUGAGUAACUUCCCCCCUCUCUGGGUUAACAGUUGGAAACGGCUGCUAAUACCGGUUAGUGGGGGAUGACUCGCGUCCUAUCCGCUUGUUGGUGGGGUAGUGGCCUACCAAGGCGACGACGGGUAGCCGGCCGGAGAGGGCGACCGGCCACAUUGGGCUGAGAUACUGCCGAAACUCCUACGGGAGGCAGCAGUGGGGAAGAUUGCACAAGGGGGGAAACCCUGAUGCAGCAACGCGCGUGCGGGAGGACGGACUUCGUGUUGUAAACCGCUUUCAGCCAUGACGCGGUAGUGGCAGAAGAAGCACCGGCUAACUACGUGCCAGCAGCCGCGGUAAUAC
rnacentral:rRNA from 1 species